rnacentral:rRNA from 1 species
AUUGAACGCUGGCGGCAGGCUUAACACAUGCAAGUCGAGCGGAGUGAUGGUGCUUGCACUAUCACUUAGCGGCGGACGGGUGAGUAAUGCUUAGGAAUCUGCCUAUUAGUGGGGGACAACAUCUCGAAAGGGAUGCUAAUACCGCGUACGUCCUACGGGAGAAAGCAGGGGAUCACUUGUGACCUUGCGCUAAUAGAUGAGCCUAAGUCGGAUUAGCUAGUUGGUGGGGUAAAGGCCUACCAAGGCGACGAUCUGUAGCGGGUCUGAGAGGAUGAUCCGCCACACUGGGACUGAGACACGGCCCAGACUCCUCCGGGAGGCAGCAGUGGGGAAUAUUGGACAAUGGGGGGAACCCUGAUCCAGCCAGGCCGCGUGUGUGAAGAAGGCCCUAUGGUUGUAAAGCACUUUAAGCGAGGAGGAGGCUCUUUUGGUUAAUACCCAAGAUGAGUGGACGUUACUCGCAGAAUAAGCACCGGCUAACUCUGUGCCAGCAGCCGCCGUAA